rnacentral:tRNA from 1 species
GGCGCGUUGCCCGAGUGGCCAAUGGGAGUGGACUGUAAAUCCAUCGGCUUUAGCCUACGUAGGUUCGAAUCCUACACGCGCCA